AGUACACAAGUCAAUUGUUGGUGCGAUAGAUAUUUUUUGAUGGUGUGGCUCAAGGAUACCACCGCAUCAUCAUAUCCUCGUUCACAAAUCACCACCAAAUGGAAAAAGAACCAGCACCAAUCACACCUUUAAAUUUUAUUUAAGAAUAUAAUAAUAUGAUAUAUUUCACACAAUAAAAUGCACUUCCAUCUCUCCCCAAAAUUGAGCUUCUUCCCCGCAAAGAUGAGCCUUCUUCCCCCCAAAAUUUUCAGCCCAAAUUUUCAGCAAAACAAAUCGAUCUCUUCCUGAACGCCAUUUUUACUCUGUUCUUCAUCACUCAAUACACACCCGUUUCUCCUCUCCCCUCGAACCCUAACCAACCGGCGGCAACCUCUACCCCACACGAAAACCCUAAUUACUAACCGGCGGCAACCAUUUCCUCACCUGCGAAAACCCUAAUUACCUAACCGGAGAAAACCCCAAUCACCUAACCUACGGCUACAAACCCUAAUCGGAGUGUAAUAGGAGGAGGAGGUUGUUGUUAUACCUUUUCACUUGAGCUUGAACCGAGACAUAAAUAGAUUUUACGCGAACGCAACCGACCUUACCGGUCAAAAUGAUAUUGGUGGUGAACAAGUUACUUCUGUGCUUGAAGAAAUGGCGAAUCUUAUUUGCUCGGUUUAAUCGGACGACAAGCGAGCAGGCGUGGCGGUGGUGCGGUGAUACAAGCUUCUCAAGAAUGGUUGGCAUAUGAAAAGCGGUGAAUCUGUGAAUUAUUUAGUAUUAAUACUUGUUUAUCUUUUGUUUAAUCUUUUAUGCCUGAAGCCAUAAACUUGAAUAAAAAAUGUUUAAUUCAAUUACACUGACUGUUUAUUUAAAGUUUAUCGAGUUUGAGAGAUUCAGUUACAUUAACUAUCUGUUUGUUUGGUUUUUUUUUUUUUUUUUCAUUUCAGUAUGCUUCUUUGUUCUUUACUUCAUCUUAAUAGCAAAAAGAUUGACGUUGAUGUUGUUGCAUUUUGUUUCAGGAUGAUCCGAAAGUGGUUGCUCUCGAGUUUGAUAAUUUAUGCAGCUAGCUGAAACCGUGUAGAUAUUAUCCCAAAGUGUAUUAGCACUAUUGGUUUUGGUAAUAUCACGUUAUGUUUUGUUAGGCGUUUUUCUACGGAUCGGGUUACAAGGCUUGAAGAGGUCGGUUUGGGUUGCAAGGCUUGAAGAGGUUGGAUCGGGUUCAUUUUCGAAAAACAUGUACUUUAAGGAAUCUUGUCAAAUAUUAGUUAUAAUUUGUUUGUUUGUUAUUUUUAUUUUAAGACAUUAUUUGUGUAUUGAAGUUAUUAAUUGGGAAAUUUAAUGGAUUUUUUUUCUGAAAUUUUACAGAAUUUAGAGAUAUAUAUAUUUGAAAAAAAAGCUGAUGUUUGUUGAAA